UGCACAUCGGGACAUUCAUCGUGUUUUGUUUUGUUGUAGCCUCACCCACAUUCCUUCCCAAUACCCCUUCAGGUUCCUACAUACGCGUCCUCGACUUCUCCACUCUCCUCGGGCUCUCCACGUUUCCCCGCGCUAUCUCCAUUCCCCGACCCGACCAAACGUCUCGAGCUUUCGCGACCUUCUCACCUCAUCCUCCUCGGGACUCCAACGUUUUCCAUUUUCCCGCUUCGUUUCCUACAUCUUCUAUCUUAUGCUCCUGUUCGUCGUUGCCUCGUUUCGUGCCCGCAACGAGUACCUGGCUACGCCGUCAAUUUUCAGAGGAGAGCCCCAGGAGAUGAAGCAGCAAUUCGCCGACCAACGUCAUCCACGCGCAUCCCGCAUCCUGGAUCGUCGAUAAUUCAGCAUCGUCGUCAACUAGUCUGCUCGAAUUCACUGCGGGGAGCAUACUUUCCGGAAGGUUGAGCCUUUCAGGAAGUCCUUCUGAUACGCCAAGCUACGUCCUCUCCGACAACAUCGGCAACGUCCAUUCUUCCACCUUGAUCGUACCGAACAAGAGCAUCGUCGAGUGGUUCGACAUCGUCCAAGAGCAAACACGAAGAACGGAGAAUCUCAAGAAACAAGAGUCGCCAUCCAAUGGAAACACCGUGUUCACGGACGGAAAAAGUAUCGUAGCUGAAUUCGACGUUCGAAAACAACGAGGGAAAUGUCCAGCCAUUCUCUUUUUGCCCCGUUAUUCCUCUCUUUCCCAUGGUUUCCGCAUGAAAAUGUGAGAAAUACGAUAAACGUUGCCGCACUGACUAACGGCACGGGCAAAACUAUCGUGGCCAAAUCAAAUUUAAGUCCCAUGUGUGUAAACUGUAUUUGCAGAGAUAUGUUUUUCCUGGCAUUUCGCGCGGUAUGUCCCAACAGCUUUAAUUUUCUCCCUUGGGAUCGGCCUUGCGCUCGUCCAUCAUUUACGCGUAUCGAAAAUUAAAGCGGGACUCGGAACGCGUACGUACGUACGCGAAUCGAUUUUUCUUUCGCGAAUCAUCGUCGAGAAAGCGGCAACAUCGUCUUCCGACGUUCUCACGCUUUAAAAUCUCCUUUAAUCUUUCUUGAGAAGAGCAAGUCGCAAAUACAUGUUUUCCUUUCUUUUUUCGAACUUCCUGUCGCUCGGGAGGUUUGCACCGGGCGAAAGAACUCGACAGGUAAGAAAAGGGAUAGAGAGGAAAAAAAGAAACGGGGUAGACGUCGUAAACCUUAUCCGCAAGCACGUGCGGAUCGUUAGAACACCACGUGGAGGCGACGAUUUCGUUUUACGGGAUUGCAGGAAGAAAGGCACGACAUGGACGAUCCCGGAUCUUGUAAUAGGAUUUCCGGGAUCAACGAGUCUUCCUACGCGACAGCCAAUGUCUUCGAGGCAGAAACGUAAUUGCGUGGAGCGACGUGAAUUUCGACGAUUUCGAAAACCUGUUUGGCUCGUCCAAUUCCUUCGAUAUAAUUCCAUCGAAAUGUUAUCGAACGUAACAACGUGUUCUCGUUCGUUUGCAAAAUCAAGCGAAACUAUCAAGAACCAGUUCGCGAUCAAUUCGUUGACAGGAACGGAUCUGCCUCGAUGAACGGCCCGAUGUUCCAAACGUGGAGCAAUGUUACCGUGAAAAGACGCUUCUCGGUUUUCGAGCGACAGUUCGUCGAAACGUAUGUCAGACGGCUCCAGGAGAGUAUUGUACAAAGUAUUCCUUGUAUCCCUUCGAGCAGCGUGUGUGCGUGCGGUGUGUGCGUCGAACAUCAAUCGAUGGAAACGACGAACAGCGAUCGAUUCGUCUAUUCUUCAGGGAUAAAGCAAAAAUCGUGUGAUUGGGUGGAAAUUGGUCGACAGAGUCGUUUGUGGCUCUACUUUUCGCCUGCGACAAGGGUGGUUGCGUUAUUACGCCGGAACCGAAGAAAUCAGGCUGCACUUUAAUUAACGGAGUUCGCGGCAAAGCAUCGUCGUAAGAAUUGUUACGCCUCGACAGCGAACGAGUAAUUGCAUUCUCGCUGGCAUCGUCGCCGAGAAUCGUAAUAUCGGCCUCGAUUGGCCUCGCCGAAACGAUCGUCGACGGAAAAUAGGAAAUAGCAGGGAACGAUGGUAACGGUGGGAAACAAGGCGCGUUUAUAAUCAAGUCGAAUGCAACGAUAACAGCCAGCGAGUUACUCGUUAAGAAGAAAAACUAACGGCUAAAAUGCCGUUCUCUCUCUCUCUCUCUCUCUUUCUCUCGCUUCUCGCAUAUUUUAAUGUUACUCGAGUGAAAUUUGGCAUACAGAUCGAGACAGUGGUGUUUCGCGUUUCCAUCGAUCGGUGAACACACGCACGCUUACUUUUUACAUUUUAGAGCUAUAAAGAAUUACAUAUAGAUAGUUGUUGAACGAACGAGCGAACAGUGUUCCAGAGUUCUUCUUGCGAGAGAAGAGGAAAUACUUUACCAUUCUAGCGAUAUAUCAGAAACUUUGAGAAGAGAAGAAAAUCGUGGCAGCGUAUGAUGUCCGUGCAAGCUUACUAGUGCCGCCGUGCUUUUUCGUUACAAAUUUAUUUCGUCGCUCGUACCUAUCGAACGAUUUGUAUGAAAGUCAUCGUAAGUCAUCGAUGGCGCGCCGUUCCGUCUAGUGCCGUUCCCCUUCCCAACCCCAAGAUUCUAUUAACUAGCUGCUGUUAAUAUUGAUCUUCAAAUAGAUGACAAUUAUUCGAGUAUCGGGUAUUCGGCUACGUCCGAAAGAUUCUGAUUUCUUUUCACACUCGAUCUUGUUACUAAGAUAAAGAAUAAAACACGAAUAUCGACACCGGAACGGAACGACGAGCCUGAUCAUAGCGAACAAAAGAGGAAUGUAUUUUAUGAUAUUUUACGCAUAAAAUGAUCGUAAAUCGAAUAUAGCGAUUAGUCCAAGGUAAACUUAAGUAGAGGUGUAUAAAUGAGAACCCAAAGUGUGCAUAAUGUUGCACACGAUAUUUACAAGGGCUGAAAAGUGAACGCGUCGAUUUUCUCGAGCGAGUGAAAAAGGGCCGCGGAACGGUGAUUGCGUGCUAACGAUUGUACCAACGACGAUGAUAGUUAAUUACCGAUAGGCGAUCGUCGAUCAUUAUCGUUAACAUCUAGCCCCGUAACGAGAUCAUCCUGUGCCAGGAUCGCAUGAAACGGAAAUGCGACCAACCCACUUCCGGGACGUUACGUUUUUUUUUUUUCUACGGAAGUGAAUAAGAACAUCGGCAACUGUUCCGUGGUAAUUUCCCUAUCACGGAUAACACUAAGCGCUACUGUAAAAUAUUGUAUAUUAUUUCACGUUAUUUAUUUUUCAAUGUUUUUACUAGGAGACGCGUUUUUACGAUACUCAAGAGAAUUAUCGCGUAAUGUUAUAGAGACAUGACUCGUUCUGAUCCGCGGUGCUGUGCUUACAUGUGACGACCAAACGGACCUGUCAAUUUCGGACCCUUUUAGUAUUUAUAGCGAUCGUUCAGAGUGAUAGAAUAAAAGUCAAACUAAACUCGAAGGUACAAUAAAGCAAUGGUUUUCAGUCACAAUUCAGACUUUACAGUCACAGCGGAUCAGCCGAAUUAGAGUGUUUAUAAACUUCAACGUAUUUCCAGCAGCUUUUGCAGUGUGUAAAACUAACCAGAGAAACCGAAGCAAAUCUAGUCUAGGCGAGAUUUAAGAGCGUACAGCUUGCGCGUUAAAGAUUAUUACGAACGUGCCGUCCGCCCUCGAAAUGAUUGCACGUGGUCAUAAGCGUGAACUGCGCCAACACAUGCGGAUACAAGCAAGCUUGCCUUGUUCUCGAAAGUUAAGUAAUGUUAGUUUUGAAAAAAGAGGGCCGAUCGAACGAUUCGUUUUGUACGACGCGUGACAGGGAACGAUUACGUUCCAUGCUGGUCUAAUAGCGAACCAAGUGCACUAUGGAUCGUAUGGCUAACUCUAGCAGCACGAAGUACUAACGAGUUAAUAGCGAAAUUGUCGUAAGGGAAAAACGAACGCUGCAGGUAUUAACGAAGCAUAAGCCGCUGUUGAUGUUUCCUAACGUGGUCUUCGAUUUCUGUCGAAGAGAUCGGGUACAAUAGGUACCAAAAACGAGGAUAUUACGACCAAAUACCACUUAUACGACAUCGUAAAAUGAAAUAAAAAACGGAAAAAAAAUUUUAUGUAAGAGACGAAGUUUCUAUUGAAUUUCGGUUGAAGACGCAUCCAAAAAGAUAUGAUCCGAAUCCGCCGCAAUUACUUACACCUAACGAAGAGAAAUGCCUAGUCAACAUGUACGUGCUCCCAAAGAAUAUAUUUCCGUUCGGUAUUUAUCCAUUUCGAGAUUUCAUUUAGAUAUUCAUGUAUUACUGUAACAUUCUUUAAUCGUGAAUCGACAUCGAGAAAAAAAGGAAAACAGAACGAAGUAUUUGAUAAAUUUGGAGCACUUGUACAUUUAAGAAUAUUUAAGUAAUGCUAACGAUGUUACUUGCGAUUUGGUAUAUGACGAACGUCAAACACGAAAAAUAUUUUAUUCUAGUCGUAUCUUUCAUGCUUUGCCAAGUAAAAUAAUAUAAUUCCUGUGUUAAGUGUAAUAGUCAAUUAUGUUUUAAUAAAAUCUGCCAAGAUUCUUGUCAA